rnacentral:rRNA from 1 species
UACGUAGGGCGCAAGCGUUGUCCGGAAUUAUUGGGCGUAAAGAGCUCGUAGGCGGCUUGUCACGUCGGGUGUGAAAGCCCGGGGCUUACCCCCGGGUCUGCAUUCGAUACAGGCUAGCUAGAGUGUGGUAGGGGAGAUCGGAAUUCCUGGUGUAGCGGUGAAAUGCGCAGAUAUCAGGAGGAACACCGGUGGCGAAGGCGGAUCUCUGGGCCAUUACUGACGCUGAGGAGCGAAAGCGUGGGGAGCAAACAGG